AUGGAGCUAGAGGAACAAUAUCAUAGGUCCUCGCAGUGGCCGUGGAAACCGCUGAGAGAGGGGCUCCAGGUCCUAAGCCACCCCGGCUGCAGGCAGCCGCAUUAUGUCCUCGUCAUAAUCUCCAGCCACCGCUGCCUCAGUACCUCUGCUAUUUCAUUUGCAGAAGCCCAGGUCCAAGUACCUCCUGUUGUUCCUGCAACUCCUUCACCCACAGCAGUACCUGAGGUGGCUUCUGGAAGAACUACAGAUAUAAUCCACGCUGUUGCAGAACAGAGCUUCGCUGAACUGGGACUAGGGUCAUACACCCCAGUGGGAUUGACCCAGAACCUCCUGGAAUUUAUGCAUGUUAACCUGGGCCUUCCUUGGUGGGGGGCCAUUGCAGCAUGUACAGUCCUUGCCCGCUGCCUCGUUUUUCCUCUCAUCGUGAAGGGCCAGCGAGAGGCAGCCAAGAUUCACAACCACUUGCCAGAGAUCCAGAAGUUUUCCACUAGAAUCAGAGAGGCCAAGUUGGCAGGAGACAAUGCUGAGUUUUACAGGGCCUCCAAGGAGAUGACACUUUACCAGAAAAAGCAAGAUAUUAAAUUCUUUAAACCCCUCAUUCUGCCUCUGACUCAGGCACUAGUCUUCAUCUCUUUCUUCAUUGCCUUGAGAGACAUGGCCAACCUUCCUGUGCUCAGUAUGCAGACAGGUGGCCUCUGGUGGUUCCAGGAUCUCACUGUAUCUGAUCCCAUCUACAUGUUAUGGAUAGUAGUCACUGCUACAAUGUGGGGUGUCCUAGAGCUAGGUGCUGACACAGGUGUGCAAAGUUCUGACCUUCAGUGGAUGAGACAUGUUAUCAGAGUGAGCCCCUGGCAGUCUUGCCCAUGCCAUCCACUUCCCCUCGGCAGUGUUCAUGUACUGGCUCUCCUCCAAUAUGUUUUCCCUGGGCCAAGUAGCCUGCCUCCGGCUACUGUACGCACUGUACUUAAAAUACCCCAGCAUGUUGUGCAUGACCCUGACAAAUUACCUCCCCGGGAAGGCUUCAUAAAGAGCUUCAAACAAGGCUAGAAGAAUGCUGAAAUUGCACAUCAGCUCCAUAAGCGUGAACGACGCAUGCAGAACCACUUGGAGCUAGCAGCCAGGGGUCCCUUACAGCAGACCUUUACCCACAACCCUCUACUACAACAUGAAAAGAAUCACCCUCCCAAAACCCCCAGCAGCAGCAACACCAACAACAGCAACAAACCAAAGUCAAAGCAGCCCUGGCGUGACACACUUGGCUGA